AAGUUACAGCCAAUAACAGCAUGAACAAGCAAAAAUUGGACUUUUUACCUUGAAGGUCAAGGUCAUUUAUGGAUGAAGGUCAAGGUUAGUGUGGUCUACUAAAAGGUCUUGUCCCAAGGGUUGUUGUGGCCAAGUAUGAAGACAAUACACCAAGAAAUAAAAAAGUUAUGAUCCAGGUACAAGUUUUCGGACGGCAACGGCAACGCCGACCUGACUAUAACAAUACCUCUACUUUUUUUUCAAAAAAAAAAAAGUCGAGCUAAAAAAACCAAGGAAAUAAAGAACCGUGGUGAGUCAAUGGUGAUACAGAAGGGAGACUCGAACCUGAUCGCCACAGUGGGGAAAGACAAGCGCCUGGUACACCAUCUUUCCACACUGAAUCAGCCCCAGGACAUUCAACCUGCACAUAGAAGAGUUGGUUCAACUGUCCUCCAGCUGCGUCAGCCCACCUCAGUGAAAAGCUACAACAAGUUCAUGGGUGGUGUAUAUCAACAUGAUCAACUUCGUAUGAACUACACCGUCAUCCUUCAUGGACUUUGAUUACAUACCAUAUUUAUCACUAUGUUGUGACAUGCAUUAUUAAAUACUUUUCAUUUUAGAUAAAUGUACCCAUUCUUGUUGAAAGUAAACAACAUAAAAAUAGUUACUGACAGGGGCUUGCUCAUAUUCAUAUAUUUUGUAUCUGAAAUAAUUUGAAUGAACAUUAAGAAGUAGGAGGUUAGCUAAUAUGGGAAGGGAGAGGUCAAAAUAUUUUGAUAUUCAAUUUAUUUUGUAAUAUAAUUUUUAAUGUGAAAAAAAAAUUAAGAUAUAGAUUUAAUACAUGCUGUUAUGUUGUUAUGACAUACCGGUAGACAAAUGUCAAUGUUUCAUUUUACAAAUAUGUGUGUGUAUUAUGGUAUUCUUGAACAGAUUUUCUAGAAGAUCAAGAAAAUUUGCAGCAACACAUAAAUGCCUGAAGGAAAGAAAGGCCUGAUGACUGCUUCUACUUUAAACCUAGGUAAUACAUUAUCAUUUAAUUUAAUUCUUACAUAACAAUUCCUUGGCUGAACUAUUAAUUACCAUUACAUGCAUUCUUGUGAAAAAUACACUUGUCUUGUUUCAUUUACUGUCCUACCUUUAUUAAGUAUGUUUCUUGCACAGAGAUUAAUGACUUUAAUUCAUUUUGUGGCAUUAUGAUAUAAGUCAUAAAUAUUUUUAUUUGGAUGUUAGUUUCCUACAGCCCUUAAGCAGAAAGCAUGGACAGUGCUGUGGAAGAUUUCAUUUUUGGUUCACCAAACUGCAUGGCAAAGGAGACUUUUAUCUAUUUAUGGAAAUGAAAUUUGCCUGCUUGAUGCCACAUAUUGCGUUUGUAAAUGUGAUGUGACUUUAUUCUUCAUCUGUGUUAGUAACAAUGAAGGAUAUAUCACUGUUGGAUGCUUUCUGUUGCCUUAUGAAACAGUGAAGAACAUAAGUCAAGGGUUGCACAUACUGAGACACUGGAACCAGGAUUGGUCUCCAACAGUUUUUAUGACUGAUUAUGAUCAGAAGGAGAUAUCUGCUAUAGAGAACACUUUUCCUGGUAAUAUUUUCAGAAUCUCAUUACUUGUUUGAAUUCUAAUAAUUACAAUAUUUCAAUUUGCUUUAAUGAACAUAUAAAAUAUGGAAACCUUUUAUGGUUAACCAUUGAAGUAGUGUCAACAGUAUAUUUUCAUGCCAGCGCAGCAUCUGUGAUGCAGUGUCAUGUAGCAAUUCACCUGUGUGCAUGCCAAUGUGUGUUUGUGUUACAUAGAUUAAACAGUGAACUUAAAAAAUCACUUUUGUUUGUAAAAAUCCCGGUUUGGUUUCAAACCGGUUUGUUAAACAGUUUGUUUGUUUGGAAGUUCAUAAACUUCAUGAAUACAUUUUGCAGGGACAAAGUACGAGUUUGGGAAAGAGGUUGUCGAGGAUCUGCAUCCUUGGAUUUUGUAGACUCUUGUAGAUUGGAACAACGUUGAUUCUGUCAUUUGCAAAUAAAGGCAAGUAUUAAACAUUAAGUAAAUUUCUCAGUAUUACCAUUCCAAAUUCCGAACUUUUUGGAUAGUCCCACAGGUGUUCCGUUUUCAGAAGUUAUUACAUACAUUUCCUAACGGAAUGUUCAAUUUUGUAUAAUAACAAAAUAUUUUUAAUUUUUGAUAUUUUUAAUUUCAAAUUAGGUAUCUCCCACAAAGUUCAGAUGUGAAGGAACUCUAGCUGUCAGAUACCUAGCGCUUAAAGAUGAGACCGGGUUUGCUAAGGUUGAAGUCUUUGACAAGGCUGCAUAGGCUGCCUACAAACUCAAUGCCGCAAUAGAAGUUACGGCAGUGUACACCAAAACCUGGAAGAAUCAACCAAAGUUGAAUUUCUCCAAGAGUUCUGAUUUUCAGUUUUAUACGUUCAUCUGAUGUACCAGUUGAAGUAACUGAUGCUGACAAAGAGCACUUUGCUAAAGAUGGAGACUUUUGCAUGGAAACAAAAGAGGACAUCAAGACAUUAGUCUUAAAUAGCAUAUAUGAAGUGACAUCAUAUGAUGCAUGUUCAAAUGAAGGUCAUGAUAUUUCUUUUCAGCCUGCCAUAAGAAGAAGCUUGUUGAUGGGAUUUGUCCAACAUGUCAAGGUGACAUGCAUACAUGGACUUAUAAAGCGAAAGUCUGCAUAACGGGGGAAGAUCUUUCGAAAGAAGUAGUAUUGUUCCAGAACAAUCUUGAAAAAUUGUUUGGUACAGCCGAGGAAAGAUCAGAUAAUCUAUUGAUUUGUUUCCGAGCCAGAAACUUUUAACAUAGGAGAUGAAGUCGGAAGAUGGAACGAUCUGAAAGCAGCGAUAGGGGCAGAAAACAACUGCAUUAUUGCAAAGUUCCUGUUAAGUGAAGGGGAUUUCUCAAAAGUAAUUUAUAUUGAUAUCAUUUUGUCUAAUUUGCCAGUAGCGUAAUUGUUUUCGUUAUUGUGCAACUGCGUAAUAUUCAAUGAACACAAGUCAUUAGCAAAACAAAAAUCAGAUUUCACUCGCUAUGAAAGGAUGCAAAGAAGGG